rnacentral:rRNA from 1 species
AUUGAACGCUGGCGGCAGGCCUAACACAUGCAAGUCGAGCGGAUGAAGGGAGCUUGCUCCUGGAUUCAGCGGCGGACGGGUGAGUAAUGCCUAGGAAUCUGCCUGGUUGUGGGGGAUAACGUCCGGAAACGGGCGCUAAUACCGCAUACGUCCUGAGGGAGAAAGUGGGGGAUCUUCGGACCUUUCGCUAUCAGAUGAGCCUAGGUCGGAUUAGCUAGUUGGUGGGGUAAAGGCCUACCAAGGCGACGAUCCGUAACUGGUCUGAGAGGAUGAUCAGUCACACUGGAGCUGAGACACGGUCCAGGCUCCUACGGGAGGCAGCAGUGGGGAAUGUGAGACAGUGGGCGGAAGCCUGAUCCAGCCAGGCCGCGUGUGUGAAGAAGGUCUUCGGAUUGUGAAGCACUUUAAGUGGGGGGGAAGGGCAGUAAGUUAAUACCUUGCUGUUUUGACGUUACCAGCAGAAUAAGCACCGGCUAACUUCGUG